rnacentral:rRNA from 1 species
CAGUAGCCGCGGGAAAACGUAGGUGGCAAGCGUUGUCCGGAAUUACUGGGCGUAAAGCGUGCGUAGGCGGUGAGUUAAGUCAGAGGUGAGAGCCCGGGGCUCAACCCCGGAACUGCCUUUGAAACUAGGUAACUAGAAUCUUGGAGAGGUCAGUGGAAUUCCGAGUGUAGAGGUGAAAUUCGUAGAUAUUCGGAAGAACACCAGUGGCGAAGGCGACUGACUGGACAAGUAUUGACGCUGAGGUGCGAAAGCGUGGGGAGCAAACAGGAUUAGAUACCCGCGUAGUCCCUGUCUCUUAUAC